GUGUGGCUCAGUGAUUAGAGCAUUCACCUUCUGUGUGUAAAGCCCUGGGUUCAAGCCUCAGCAC
rnacentral:tRNA from 1 species